GACGAACGCUGGCGGCGUGCUUAACACAUGCAAGUCGAACGGAAAGGCCCUGCUUUUGUGGGGUGCUCGAGUGGCGAACGGGUGAGUAACACGUGAGUAACCUGCCCUUGACUUUGGGAUAACUUCAGGAAACCGGGGCUAAUACCGGAUAGGAGCUCCUGCUGCAUGGUGGGGGUUGGAAAGUUUCGGCUGUUGGGGAUGGACUCGGGGCUUAUCAGCUUGUUGGUGGGGGAGUGGCUUACCAAGGCUUUGACGGGUAGCCGGCCUGAGAGGGUGACCGGCCACAUUGGGACUGCGAUACGGCCCAGACUCCUACGGGGGGCAGCGGUGGGGAAUAUUGCACAAUGGGCGGAAGCCUGAUGCAGCAACGCCGCGUGCGGGAUGACGGCCUUCGGGUUGUAAACCGCUUUCGCCUGUGACGAAGCGUGAGUGACGGUAAUGGGUAAAGAAGCACCGGCUAACUACGUG
rnacentral:rRNA from 1 species